rnacentral:rRNA from 1 species
UACAGAGGGGGCAAGCGUUAUUCGGAAUUAUUGGGCGUAAAGGGCGCGUAGGCGGCCUUGCAAGUGGCGGGUGAAAUCCCCCGGCUUAACCGAGGAACUGCCUGCCAGACUGCAAGGCUCGAGACCGGGAGAGGUGAGUGGAAUUCCCAGUGUAGCGGUGAAAUGCGUAGAUAUUGGGAGGAACACCAGUGGCGAAGGCGGCUCACUGGACCGGAACUGACGCUGAGGCGCGAAAGCGUGGGGAGCAAACAGG